ACACACACACAUAUAUAUACACACCUUAAUUAUAAUUAUUAUAGAUAAAUAAAUUAAUUUAAACAAAUUUAAGCAGUAGUAUUUCCUCCACUAUCUGUACUUAUAAGUUGUAAAGAAGUAUGUUCAAAAAAGAAAAAUAUAUAUAUAAAGAAGUAGUGCAUAAUAUAGUAACCCAUUAUCUCCUUAUGUUUUUUGUUUACCUAAUACAACGUUGGAAAGUGGAAACCAAGAUUUGUGGUUUUCAGCGUAACUGCUUUUGCUUUCAAAACGCUUCUAGACAAGUGAUGAAAAAAUAAACAGUAACAGAUAUUGCAGAACAUGUUUCAAUUUUUUUUCAAAAAAGAAAGACAAAAGACCACACAAACCAAAACAUUAUCAAACGCACCCUAAUGAAAUGACUAGCAGUUUAGCUCACUCCGGUGGCCUGGCGACUUUCUAGGGAAUAGCCUAAAACCCUAAAUAUUGGGCACCUCUUAUAAAACUCUCCUUAUCCUCUGUACACAGGUAUGGCAUGCCAAAUCCAGCUAACUCUACUGAACCCAAAUCCAGAUCCAGUUCCUCACUAAUAACUAUUCUUUUGAGCUAGCAUGAUUCCAAGAAGAUCAUUUCUGACACCAGUUUCUAUGUUAGAUUUUCUGAAGGACAUCUGUAAGAUUGAUUUUUAAGAAUAAACAGAGGCCUCAUUUAUGUUUGUACAAUAGCAUCCCCUUGGAAUACUCAUAAACUUCCAUCUUUGAGAGGAUAAACUCACUUUACAGCAUCUGGAAGCCGAACACCUCUCUUGACAGUAAUGGAUCCAAAGAUACAAUAUAAGUUGAAAGCAUAUAUCCAAAUAUAAACAAAUGCAAAUUCUUAGUUAGACCAAGUGCAAUCUUUAUUAGAGAAAAUGUUGAUCUUUGAACUCAAUCAACAGAAAAGUGAGAGAGAAGGGAGGAGGGAAGAAAAAAAAGCUAUGAGUAACAUGAUUUUCAAAUAGAAAGCACUUCAGCCACAUGUCCACACGCAGACAAGGCAUAUUCUUCAUUAAUAUACAGAAAAUGAAUUGCAUUCCAACAUAAUUAAAAAAGAAAGAGAACUGACAUGGAGCAAGAAAAAGCUACCAACAAGAAGCCACAAACAAACACAAAAGGCAAAAAGAAAAACAUGGGGUGCAUAACAGAAGCAUUAUCAUUUCAUCAGCAAUGGGAAAACUCUAGGGGAAAAAAAAGCAAUUUAUCUACCUGACCUUAAUAGAGAAUACGGAUCAUAG
rnacentral:misc_RNA from 1 species